rnacentral:rRNA from 1 species
UGCGAAGGGGGCUAGCGUUGUUCGGAAUUACUGGGCGUAAAGCGCACGUAGGCGGACAUUUAAGUCAGGGGUGAAAUCCCGGGGCUCAACCUCGGAACUGCCUUUGAUACUGGGUGUCUUGAGUAUGGAAGAGGUGAGUGGAAUUCCUGGUGUAGCGGUGAAAUGCGCAGAUAUCAGGAGGAACACCAAUUGCGAAGGCAGCUCGCUGGGACGUUACUGACGCUGAGACGCGAAAGCGUGGGGAGCAAACAGG